rnacentral:tRNA from 1 species
UUAGGGAGACCUACUUCAGGACAUCGUGCCAUGAUAAUAAUAGCCGAGUCUUGAGGUCAUCCUUAGGUCGGAUGGGGCGGUCAGAGAGCUUUCAAACUUUAGGGUUCGUGUUAUGGGCUAUUAGCUCAGGUGGUUAGAGCGCACCCCUGAUAAGGGUGAGGUCCCUGGUUCAAGUCCAGGAUGGCCCACAUCCACCCCAAACUGGGGGUAUAGCUCAGUUGGUAGAGCGCUGCCUUUGCACGGCAGAAGUCAGCGGUUCGAGUCCGCUUACCUCCACUCUCCUUUAAUUAGGUGCUAGUUGGGGUGAGAUAGGAUUGCCUCGGAAAAUUGAUAUAUGACUGCUGAGCUCCUCCUACUGCUGAUGAUGUUCUUCGACUAGUUAAUUGGUGGUCUGUUCCUCCCAUAACAUUCUUGACUGCUGAGUAAAGAACAUAAUGGUGUAGGAGAACAACGUAGAAACGAUUCUUAUGAU